CGUAGAGUUUGAUCAUGGCUCAGGACGAACGCUGGCGGCGUGCCUAAUACAUGCAAGUGGAACGCAUUGAUUUCACCGGAGCUUGCUCCACCGAAAUUAGUGAGUCGCGAACGGGUGAGUAACGCGUAGGUAACCUACCUCUUAGCGGGGGAUAACUAUUGGAAACGAUAGCUAAUACCGCAUAACAAUAGGAUACACAUGUACCCUAUUUAAAAGGAGCAAUUGCUUCACUAAGAGAUGGACCUGCGUUGUAUUAGCUAGUUGGUAGGGUAACGGCCUACCAAGGCAUCGAUACAUAGCCGACCUGAGAGGGUGAUCGGCCACACUGGGACUGAGACACGGCCCAGACUCCUACGGGAGGCAGCAGUAGGGAAUCUUCGGCAAUGGGGGGAACCCUGACCGAGCAACGCCGCGUGAGUGAAGAAGGUUUUCGGAUCGUAAAGCUCUGUUGUAAGAGAAGAACGUGUGAGAGAGUGGAAAGUUCUCACAGUGACGGUAACUUACCAGAAAGGGACGGCUAACUACGUGCCAGCAGCCGCGGUAAUACGUAGGUCCCGAGCGUUGUCCGGAUUUAUUGGGCGUAAAGCGAGCGCAGGUGGUUGUAUAAGUCUGAAGUAAAAGGCAGUGGCUUAACCAUUGUGUGCUUUGGAAACUGUACAACUUGAGUGCAGAAGGGGAGAGUGGAAUUCCAUGUGUAGCGGUGAAAUGCGUAGAUAUAUGGAGGAACACCGGUGGCGAAAGCGGCUCUCUGGUCUGUACUGACAUAGCUGAGCGCC
rnacentral:rRNA from 1 species